GGCCAUGGCAUGCAGCAGCUUGAUGUGGGAUCUCAGUUCCCAGACCAGGGAUUGAACCCAGGCUGCAGAGGUGAAAAGUCCAGAGUCCUAACCACGAGGCUCCCCUAUGCUAAACCCUUAAUCAUCUACUGCUUACUAUGUGGGCAGAAUGACUAUGAUAUUUAUCCAUAGCUACUGCCUGCUGUAGCUUUCUGAGCUGAAUCUUUUUUUUUUUUUUUUUUUUUUUUUUUUUUUUUUUUUUUUUNUAGGUCUGCACCUGAGGCACAUGGACGUUCCCAGACUAGGGGUUGAAUCAGAGCUGUAGCUGCCAGCCUAUGCCACAGCCAUAGCAAUGCCAGAACCAAGCUGUGUCUGGACCUACACCACAGCUCACGGCAACGCCAGAUCCUUAACCUACUGAGUGAGGCCAAGGAUCAAACCCAUGUCCUCAUGGAUGCCAGUCAGAUGCGUUUCCAUUGAGCCACGACGGGAACUCCCUGAGCUGAAUUUUUUAUUUAAUAUAGAGCAAUACAGGCAGGGGCUUUCAAAUGAUAUGAAUGAUUUUCACAGGUCACCUGGAACUCUAUUUCUCUAAAUUCUACUCAAUCCAUCUCUGAUUUUAGGUACCACGUAUUUUAAGGCUAAAGGUGCAGUUUUGACUUUAUAUGUACUACUUAUUCAUUCACUCAUGCAUUCAUUUGUUCAGCUAACAGCCAUUGAGCAUCUAUUUUGUAUUUAGUCUACUUUUUUUUAAUUCAAGUACUUUUGGAAUUCAAUGAAUUACUCAGAAAAAGAUUUAGCAUGGGGUGAAAUUCUGUCUUCCAUAGGAUAACACUCAAGGGAGAAAGGAGUAAAUUGUGGAUGAGAAAUAAAGGCUACUUAUGUUAGUUCAUUUGGAACUGGAACUAGGAUCGUGAAGGUAUUCUGUGGCUUGUUUGGCUAAUGACUCUUGCAAAGUUAUUACCUGAGUUCCAUAACUCUGAGUACCACUGGGUUAAAGAAGCACCCCUUCUCCUCUGGCACCUUAAUUUAAAUCUGGCCAUGACAAAAUGAUUUCCCAGGUACUAAAGACUGGCUUCUACACAAAAUGUCUGUGUGACUGCACUUGGGCCCAGUGCAGAGGUGAAGUUUCCUCCCAGCUAGAGGAGCAGAAGAGGUGGCAUGGGUUGGGGGUGGGGUGGCAUGGGUUGGGGGCAUGGUGGCAUGGCGUUCAGAAGACUGGGAAUGGCUUUGUACUCUCCCCACUCCUCUUUCCUUUCUGACAAACAGCAUCCACUUGCCUGGAGAAUCCAGUGGUCCCAAGUGAUUAUACCCGGCAACUAUCUGUAGAUGGUUAUUCUGUCUGUCCUCCAGUCACGGCUCAGACAAAUGAUAAAUAUUGAGGUCUUUUCAUCUUAUCUCACAAGUCAAUCCCUCCAGCCCUCUAAUCAUUCUUGUUACUCUCUGGUGACAACCUUUCCAUUUGUCUACCUCUCGCUGACACAGAAAUGACAAGAAGCAGAUUUAAAAAAGAAGAAGAAGAAGAAGAAGAAGAAGGAGGCGUUCCCUUAGUGGCUCAGUGGUUAACGAACCCGACUAGGAUGCAGGAGGAUGCAGGUAGGAUCCCUGGCCUCUCACUGAGUGGGUUAAGGAUCCAGCUUUGCCAUGAGCUGUGGGUGUAAGUCACAGACAUGGCUUGGACUCCGAGUUGCUGUGGCUGUGGCGUAGGCCAGCAGCUGUAGCUCCUAUUGGACCCCUAGCCUGGGACUCUCCAUAUGCCAUGGGUGCAGCCCUAAAAAAAGCAAAAAAAAAAAAAAAAANCAGGGAACAAGAAGUGGCAUGUUUGCAGGAUAGAGGAAUUUUAAAUGGUCUAAAAGAAGCUUUCGCUUGUGGUCCCCAAAGCUGGCCCUAUUCCAGAGAAGGUAUUGUUAGACUCCCCAAGGGGAAACAAUCAGGUGCUGGGGCUUCAGGAAGUUGUUCAACAUUUCUGCUACCCAGUUUUUACAUCUGCAUAUUGGAGAUCAUGCUUCCUAGUUUACAGGGUUGCUUUAAGUUAAAGGAACCAACUUAGCAAAAUAUUUGGCAUGUUAUCUGACAUCUCUGUAUUUAAUCAUUAACCAAUAUAUAUUUAGUCUGUGCCAGCUAUGAAGUGCUGGGGCUGGGGUAUGAUGCAGUUCAGCGGAUCCUUAACAUAGUAUUAGCAUCAUUAUCAUUAAUAAUGAUAACAAUUAAAUGGGUAGUAGCAGCCAAAUAGUAGCAGCAUUUCAUUAUUAAUAUGAUGAAAUGUAUUCUGCACAGGUCGCAGGCUCAAUAUCAACCCUUCAGACCACAUCCCUAGGCAGCGCUCAGUGUUUUGCAAUUUUUGUGAUGAAGAUGGAAAAUGCCAAACUGAAAAGUCCUUCUAAGCGGUGGCAACUCUGGUUAAGGAGAGGCCUCCACGGCCUGCAUUUUAAUGGCACCAUCUCCGCUCAGUUUCCAGAUGUGCAUUUGUCCAACUGCACUCUGGGGAAUUUGAUCCAGAUGCUUCCAUUUUACACUGGUGAUAACUGCAACUCAGAGAAAUUAGGCAACUUAAUGAAAGUAGAUAUGAUUCUUCCCACAAAUGUGCACA
rnacentral:lncRNA from 1 species